rnacentral:rRNA from 1 species
AUUGAACGCUGGCGGCAGGCCUAACACAUGCAAGUCGAACGAUUGGCGGACGGGUGAGUAAUGCUUGGGAAUCUAGCUUAUGGAGGGGGAUAACUACGGGAAACUGUAGCUAAUACCGCGUACCAUCGGAUUAGCCCAUGUGGGAUUAGUUUGUUGGUGAGGUAAAGGCUCACCAAGCCGACGAUCCCUAGCUGGUCUGAGAGGAUGAUCAGCCAAACUGGGACUGAGACACGGCCCAGACUCCUACGGGAGGCAGCAGUGGGGAAUAUUGCGCAAUGGGGGCAACCUGACGAAGCCAUGCCGCGUGAAUGAAGAGGUCCUUCGGGUUGUAAAGUACUUUCGGUAGGGAGGCGUUAACUACAGAAGAAGCACCGGCUAACUCCGUGCCAGCAGCCGCGGUAAUAC